UAUACACAAAUUUUAUUCUGAUUAACAAUCAAUAAAGCACCUUUACCAUAUUGACAUAUGCAUGCUAGCAUUCACACUAGAUUCAAAUAUAAUUUAAAAAUUCAUUCACACUAAAUAAAAAAUCAGCAUUCAAUGGAUACUUCAAAUGAAUUAUAGAUGCUGUGACAGUUUUCAUAAAAAAAAAAUCUUAAAAGUCAUAUGAAACAAAUCUCUAGUAAUUAAAGAGUUUAUGAAAUCAUUGACCCAAAGCAUACAUUUGUAUAAAACAAAGUUCUCUGUGCACAUUUUACACUAAAAAAUAGUGUUGUGGUAAAGGUAACAGCAUACAGAAAAUCAGUUGGCCAAUAAGAUUGAAAUUUAUGUAACAUAUGACUUGAAAAAAAA
rnacentral:lncRNA from 1 species